rnacentral:rRNA from 1 species
GACGAACGCUGGCGGCACGCUUAACACAUGCAAGUCGAACGAGAGAAGAGAAGCUUGCUUUUCUGAUCUAGUGGCGGACGGGUGAGUAACACGUGAGCAAUCUGCCUUUCAGAGGGGGAUACCGAUUGGAAACGAUCGUUAAUACCGCAUAACAUAAUUGAACCGCAUGAUUUGAUUAUCAAAGAUUUAUCGCUGAAAGAUGAGCUCGCGUCUGAUUAGCUAGUUGGUAAGGUAACGGCUUACCAAGGCGACGAUCAGUAGCCGGACUGAGAGGUUGAUCGGCCACAUUGGGACUGAGACACGGCCCAGACUCCUACGGGAGGCAGCAGUGGGGAAUAUUGCACAAUGGAGGAAACUCUGAUGCAGCGAUGCCGCGUGAGGGAAGAAGGUUUUAGGAUUGUAAACCUCUGUUUUCAGGGACGAAAAAAGACGGUACCUGAGGAGGAAGCUCCGGCUAACUACGUGCCAGCAGCCGCGGUAAUACGUAGGGAGCGAGCGUUGUCCGGAAUUACUGGGUGUAAAGGGAGCGUAGGCGGGAUCGCAAGUCAGAUGUGAAAACUAUGGGCUUAACCCAUAAACUGCAUUUGAAACUGUGGUUCUUGAGUGAAGUAGAGGUAAGCGGAAUUCCUAGUGUAGCGGUGAAAUGCGUAGAUAUUAGGAGGAACAUCAGUGGCGAAGGCGGCUUACUGGGCUUUAACUGACGCUGAGGCUCGAAAGCGUGGGGAGCAAACAGGAUUAGAUACCCUGGUAGUCCACGCCGUAAACGAUGAUUACUAGGUGUGGGGGGAGUGACCCCCUCCGUGCCGCAGCAAACGCAAUAAGUAAUCCACCUGGGGAGUACGACCGCAAGGUUGAAACUCAAAGGAAUUGACGGGGGCCCGCACAAGCAGUGGAGUAUGUGGAUUAAUUUGAAGCAACGCGAAGAACCUUACCAGGUCUUGACAUCGUAUGCAUAGCUCAGAGAUGAGUGAAAUCUCUUCGGAGACAUAUAGACAGGUGGUGCAUGGUUGUCGUCAGCUCGUGUCGUGAGAUGUUGGGUUAAGUCCCGCAACGAGCGCAACCCUUACUGUUAGUUGCUACGCAAGAGCACUCUAGCAGGACUGCCGUUGACAAAACGGAGGAAGGUGGGGAUGACGUCAAAUCAUCAUGCCCCUUAUGACCUGGGCCUCACACGUACUACAAUGGCUGUCAACAGAGGGAUGCAAAGCCGCGAGGUGGAGCGAACCCCUAAAAGCAGUCUUAGUUCGGAUUGUAGGCUGCAACCCGCCUACAUGAAGUCGGAAUUGCUAGUAAUCGCAGAUCAGCAUGCUGCGGUGAAUAAGUUCCCGGGCCUUGCACU